rnacentral:rRNA from 1 species
UACGAGUGCUCCAAGCGUUAUCCGGAAUCAUUGGGCGUAAAGGGUGUGUAGGCGGUUGUGUUAGUCUUUUGUUAAAUUCUUCGGCUUAACCGGGGGCAUGCAAAGGAAACGGCACAACUAGAGGAUGCGAGAGGUGAAUGGAACUCAUGGAGUAGGGGUGAAAUCCGUUGAUAUCAUGGGGAACACCAAAUGCGAAGGCAAUUCACUGGCGCACUCCUGACGCUGAGACACGAAAGCGUAGGUAGCGAAUGGG